ACUAAUGGUGGCUGUGGGCACUGCCUUGCUGAUCUGGGUUCUCUUGAGGCUAACUGUGCAGAACACUUCUAGAAUAAAUGAAGAUCAUGUAACAAAUAGAGAUGGUAGUGCUGUCUGAAGAGUCUCUGGAGUAUGUCACUGUGCUUCUUACCAACAUAGGGAUGCCUUGACUAAAGUGGGCCUGAAAUGGCUGAAAAGAAAAACCCUUAGUUUCUACAGACAGAAAUGUUGCUACCCUCAAAGUGCCACAGCAUGAACAGAAGACUUGUCUCACAGAAGUCAACAGUCAUUGAGGAGAUGCAUGUAGACAUGGAGCAGAACCCCUGUGUGGUGGGCUGCAGACUGCUUCCUCCAACCUCCCUGCCCCAUCCCCACACAAAAAGAUAACCAAAUCCUAAUCUCUGGAACCUGUAAAUGUUUCCUUAUUUUGAAAAAGAGUCAUUGCAGAUGUGA
rnacentral:lncRNA from 1 species